ACGAACGCUGGCGGCGUGCCUAAUACAUGCAAGUCGAACGAAGCUUUCUUUCACCGAAUGCUUGCAUUCACCGAAAGAAGCUUAGUGGCGAACGGGUGAGUAACACGUAGGCAACCUGCCCAAAAGAGGGGGAUAACACUUGGAAACAGGUGCUAAUACCGCAUAACCAUGAACACCGCAUGAUGUUCAUGUAAAAGACGGCUUUUGCUGUCACUUUUGGAUGGGCCUGCGGCGUAUUAACUUGUUGGUGGGGUAACGGCCUACCAAGGUGAUGAUACGUAGCCGAACUGAGAGGUUGAUCGGCCACAUUGGGACUGAGACACGGCCCAAACUCCUACGGGAGGCAGCAGUAGGGAAUCUUCCACAAUGGACGAAAGUCUGAUGGAGCAACGCCGCGUGAAUGAAGAAGGCCUUCGGGUCGUAAAAUUCUGUUGUCAGAGAAGAACGUGCGUGAGAGUAACUGUUCACGUAUUGACGGUAUCUGACCAGAAAGCCACGGCUAACUACGUGCCAGCAGCCGCGGUAAUACGUAGGUGGCAAGCGUUGUCCGGAUUUAUUGGGCGUAAAGGGAACGCAGGCGGUCUUUUAAGUCUGAUGUGAAAGCCUUCGGCUUAACCGAAGUAGUGCAUUGGAAACUGGAAGACUUGAGUGCAGAAGAGGAGAGUGGAACUCCAUGUGUAGCGGUGAAAUGCGUAGAUAUAUGGAAGAACACCAGUGGCGAAAGCGGCUCUCUGGUCUGUAACUGACGCUGAGGUUCGAAAGCGUGGGUAGCAAACAGGAUUAGAUACCCUGGUAGUCCACGCCGUAAACGAUGAGUGCUAAGUGUUGGAGGGUUUCCGCCCUUCAGUGCUGCAGCUAACGCAUUAAGCACUCCGCCUGGGGAGUACGGUCGCAAGACUGAAACUCAAAGGAAUCGCCGGGGUCCAGCACACGCGGUGCAGCAUGUGGUUUAAUUCGAAGCAACGCGAAGAACCUUACCAGGUCUUGACAUCUUCUGACAAUUCCAGAGAUGGAACGUUCCCUUCGGGGACAGAAUGACAGGUGGUGCAUGGUUGUCGUCAGCUCGUGUCGUGAGAUGUUGGGUUAAGUCCCGCAACGAGCGCAACCCUUAUUGUCAGUUGCCAUCAUUAAGUUGGGCACUCUGGCGAGACUGCCGGUGACAAACCGGAGGAAGGUGGGGAUGACGUCAAAUCAUCAUGCCCCUUAUGACCUGGGCUACACACGUGCUACAAUGGACGGUACAACGAGUCGCUAACUCGCGAGGGCAAGCUAAUCUCUUAAAGCCGUUCUCAGUUCGGAUUGCAGGCUGCAACUCGCCUGCAUGAAGUCGGAAUCGCUAGUAAUCGCGAAUCAGCAUGUCGCGGUGAAUACGUUCCCGGGCCUUGUACACACCGCCCGUCACACCAUGAGAGUUUGUAACACCCAAAGUCGGUGGGGUAACCUUUUGGAGCCAGCCGCCUAAGGUGGGACAGAUGAUUGGGGUG
rnacentral:rRNA from 1 species